GGGUUGUGAGGUUAAGCGACCAAGCGUACACGGUGGAUGCCCUGGCAGUCAGAGGCGAUGAAGGACGUGCUAAUCUGCGAAAAGCGCCGGUAAGGUGAUAUGAACCGUUAUAGCCGGCGAUGUCCGAAUGGGGAAACCCAGUGUGACUCGUCACACUAUCAUUAACUGAAUCCAUAGGUUAAUGAGGCGAACCGGGGGAACUGAAACAUCUAAGUACCCCGAGGAAAAGAAAUCAACCGAGAUUCCCCCAGUAGCGGCGAGCGAACGGGGAGGAGCCCAGAGCCUGAAUCAGCAUGUGUGUUAGUGGAAGCGUCUGGAAAGGCACGCGAUACAGGGUGACAGCCCCGUACACAAAAAUGCACAUGUUGUGAGCUCGAUGAGUAGGGCGGGACACGUGGUAUCCUGUCUGAAUAUGGGGGGACCAUCCUCCAAGGCUAAAUACUCCUGACUGACCGAUAGUGAACCAGUACCGUGAGGGAAAGGCGAAAAGAACCCCGGCGAGGGGAGUGAAAAAGAACCUGAAACCGUGUACGUACAAGCAGUGGGAGCCCCACCACUAAGCCAGUGGUGAACUCCGCAUACGCAUCCUUUGCUGAGGAUACGGUUAACGGAGCGAAAGCGACGUUCAACCGCAAAAGAAGCAGAGGGGGCUUAGUGGUGGGGUGACUGCGUACCUUUUGUAUAAUGGGUCAGCGACUUAUAUUCUGUAGCAAGGUUAACCGCAUAGGGGAGCCG
rnacentral:rRNA from 1 species